rnacentral:rRNA from 1 species
CCUACGGGAGGCUGCAGUGGGGGAUAUUGGACAAUGGGGGAAACCCUGAUCCAGCGACGCCGCGUGAGUGAAGAAGUAUUUCGGUUUGUAAAGCUCUAUCAGCAGGGAAGAAAGAAAUGACGGUACCGGAGUAAGAAGCCCCGGCUAACUACGUGCCAGCAGCCGCGGUAAUACGUAGGGGGCAAGCGUUAUCCGGAAUUACUGGGUGUAAAGGGAGAGUAGACGGUAAAGCAAGUCUGGAGUGAAAGGCGGGGGCCCAACCCCCGGACUGCUCUGGAAACUGUGUAACUGGAGUGCAGGAGAGGCAGGCGGAAUGCCUAGUGUAGCGGUGAAAUGCGUAGAUAUUAGGAGGAACACCAGUGGCGAAGGCGGCCUGCUGGACUGUAACUGACGUUGAGGCUCGAAAGCGUGGGGAGCAAACAGGAUUAGAUACCCCUGUAGUC